CCUACGGGAGGCAGCAGUGGGGGAUAUUGCACAAUGGGGGAAACCCUGAUGCAGCGACGCCGCGUGUAGGAAGACGGUCCUCUGGAUUGUAAACUACUGUCCCCAGGGACGAAGAUGACGGUACCUGGGGAGGAAGCUCCGGCUAACUACGUGCCAGCAGCCGCGGUAAUACGUAGGGAGCGAGCGUUGUCCGGAAUUACUGGGUGAAAAGGGAGCGUAGGCGGGGAUGCAAGUUGGGGGUUAAAUCUACCGGCUCAACUGGUAGUCGCACUCAAAACUGCAGCUCUUGAGUGAAGUAGAGGCAGGCGGAAUUCCUAGUGUAGCGGUGAAAUGCGUAGAUAGUAGGAGGAACACCAGUGGCGAAGGCGGCCUGCUGGGCUUUUACUGACGCUGAGGCUCGAAAGUGUGGGGAGCAAAUAGGAUUAGAUACCCGGGUAGUC
rnacentral:rRNA from 1 species